rnacentral:rRNA from 1 species
AUACGGAGGAUCCGAGUGUUAUCCGGAUUUAUUGGGUUUAAAGGGUGCGCAGGCGGCCAUUUAAGUCAGCGGUUAAAUCGUGGGGCUCAACCCCAUUCUGCCGUUGAUACUGGGUGGCUUGAUUGCGGUCGAGGUUGGCGGAAUUCGUUGUGUAGCGGUGAAAUGCAUAGAUAUGACGAAGAACACCGAUUGCGUAGGCAGCUGACCAGACCGCAAAUGACGCUCAUGCACGAAAGUGCGUGGAUCGAACAGGAUUAGAUACCCUGGUAGUCCGCACAGUAAACGAUGAAUACUUGUUUUCGGCGAUAUAAUGUCGGAGGCAAAGCGAAAGCGAUAAGUAUUCCACCUGGGGAGUACGCCGGCAACGGUGAAACUCAAAGGAAUUGACGGGG